rnacentral:rRNA from 1 species
UACGGGGGGGGCAAGCGUUGUUCGGAAUUCCUGGGCGUAAAGGGCUCGUAGGCGGCCAACUAAGUCAGACGUGAAAUCCCUCGGCUUAACCGGGGAACUGCGUCUGAUACUGGAUGGCUUGAGGUUGGGAGAGGGAUGCGGAAUUCCAGGUGUAGCGGUGAAAUGCGUAGAUAUCUGGAGGAACACCGGUGGCGAAGGCGGCAUCCUGGACCAAUUCUGACACUGAGGAGCGAAAGCCAGGGGAGCAAACGGG